rnacentral:rRNA from 1 species
UACGGGGGGGGCAAGCGUUGUUCGGAAUUACUGGGCGUAAAGGGCUCGUAGGGGGCCAACUAAGUCAGACGUGAAAUCCCCAGGCUUAACCUGGGAACUGCGUCUGAUACUGGAUGGCUUGAAUUCGGGAGAGGGAUGCAGAAUUCCAGGUGUAGCGGUGAAAUGCGUAGAUAUCUGGAGGAAUACCGGUGGCGAAGGCGGCAUCCUGGACCGAGAUUGACACUGAUGAGCGAAAGCUAGGGGAGCAAACGGG